rnacentral:rRNA from 1 species
GAUGAACGCUGGCGGCGUGCCUAAUACAUGCAAGUCGAGCGAACAGACGAGGAGCUUGCUCCUCUGACGUUAGCGGCGGACGGGUGAGUAACACGUGGAUAACCUACCUAUAAGACUGGGAUAACUUCGGGAAACCGGAGCUAAUACCGGAUAAUAUAUUGAACCGCAUGGUUCAAUAGUGAAAGACGGUUUUGCUGUCACUUAUAGAUGGAUCCGCGCCGCAUUAGCUAGUUGGUAAGGUAACGGCUUACCAAGGCGACGAUGCGUAGCCGACCUGAGAGGGUGAUCGGCCACACUGGAACUGAGACACGGUGCAGACUCCUACGGGAGGCAGCAGUAGGGAAUCUUCCGCAAUGGGCGAAAGCCUGACGGAGCAACGCCGCGUGAGUGAUGAAGGUCUUCGGAUCGUAAAACUCUGUUAUUAGGGAAGAACAAAUGUGUAAGUAACUAUGCACGUCUUGACGGUACCUAAUCAGAAAGCCACGGCUAACUACGUG